AGCUUUUGUGCCCCUGAGGUAUUUGUAUUUUUCGCCUGACAUGUAAUAUCCGUGUGUUCCUUCUUGCAAAAAACCAUGCACUCUAAUUAUAGGAAAAUGGCUAUAUGGAAAGCGGGAAAUUUUCUGGUGAGAACAAUUGUGAUCUUUCCUUCUCUAAUCUAUUUUUGAGACACCGGAUGGGAAUGUACGAAGCACCAUUUCAUGAUCUUUGUAGGCUCGGAAUGAAUUCGAAUGGGCUCCUUUAUCUAUUUGUUCCAGUUUGUUCAAUGUUUGGAAAUAUGCAUGUAUAAGAAGAUGGUUUCCUUCCUGGCUGCCACUGCGUCCGUAGCUCGCAUCCCCAGGUAUGGCUUCCCCGGUACGGUCAAACAGACCAACAGAAUGUAAGUUUUUUCUCAGUUUACUCUUCACUUUGAAGAGGGCACCCAUUAGAUAUGCGCCAAGCACCGUUCGUGCCAAUGAACAGGCUCCUUUUGUUUGGGUGGUUGGUUCUUUUUAUAAAUUGUAUGCAAAUACCUAAGUCCUUCUGUUUCCCAGAUUUUGAUACGGAGAAAAAACAAAAUUGGUUAUUCUAAUGUUACUUGUUAACAACACCGUUUCUUAAUUUGAUAUUUUUAAUUUGAUCUGGUACCUCUGUCAAUUUAGGUCAUUUAAUCUGAAUAUAAAUCAAUGUUACUAGUACCACUACUAACCAUGUCGAGAGUAUAUGCUUAUUACUGCUUGUAUGAUCAUUCUGUCUGAGGCCAAGUCCUAAUUUAGUAGGGAGAAAAUAUGUUCUUUUAUGGGUUGGCACACAUGAUGAAGGGAGUCAUAUUUGUCCUACUGCUCAAGAAGCUCCACUUUGUCCUGAUUUUUAUCCACUUGCAUGAGCAUAAUGACUGGGAAAAUGGUAUCAUUUGGGGCAAUUCACUGGCAAAUGAAAGCCAGGCUUCUUUUGAAGGACAAGCUUUGUCUCAUUACAGUAGGAAUGUGCCCCCUGACCUGACCUGACUUUGACUCAUUGCCAAUGCCAUCUACAGGGCAACGUGACCAUCGCUGCCAAGUCUGGAGUCAAGGUGAAGAUCCGGAGCUAUGCUUGUGAACAAGGACAUCAAUGGUGAAAUCCAUAUUCAUGUACCGCUGUUGAGGAUGCCUGCCGAUUUUCCAAUUUAGGCCUCCAGCUGCUGCAGCUUAUGAUCUCGCUUAUAUUGCUUAGGCCUCGAGCUGCUGCCGCUUAUGAUCUCCCUUAUAUUGCUUAGGCCUCCACAUAUCUGGAUUGCGGCUCUAUUCCGUUAAUCAGAUGUGUUGUAUAUUCGCCCAACAUCUGGCUGUAAUAAUGCCUGACUAAAAACUGCUUAGUUAAUUUUUGUUCUUUUUUGGUAGGAGUUUUCACCCCAGUUCUAUGCUUGUACCAGUCUUGGAACAUUUUCAAUACCACACGGUUUGUUUUUUCAUUGGUCA